UAUAUUUCCUCUAGUAAUUGUUCACCGAUAUACUACUCUCAGCAUUUUAUAGUUGUUGGGUGUUGACUCUAUUUCUAUCGAAAAUGGAGUAGAGUAGUUUGUUAAAUUAUUCAUUAUGUGGUGUUGGGGCAUUUUUCCAUGUUGUCUUUUGAAACUGGUUAAUUUAUUAAAUGAUUAGUUUAUUGGGGCAUUCUUCCAUGUUGAUGUUCCUUUUGAAACUGAUUAGUUUAUCAAAUGUUUAGUUUAUUGAAGGAUUAGUUUAUUUUUGCAUUCUUCCAUGUUGUCUUUUGAAACUGCACUAUUGAUUCUUUAACAGCAAUGAAAGUGAACAAGAAAUAAAUUCUCCCUAAUUGUUGUUUUUUUUGGACUUUUCUUGUUGGUUCAUUAGUGUUGGUCUCUGACUUAUACAAGGAACUACGACCUUUUCUAACGUGAUGUUAAAUUUUAUGGUUUAACCUCAGGUCUGUUUUGGUGAAGAUUGGGAUUGGGAGAUCAUCUUCUCUUUUCGGUCCACUUUGGUGUGAUAUGUCGGAUAGACAAUUUCAUCUCACUUUACCACUACAAGAUUUGUGCACACAAUUUUCAUCAUUUGAGGAUUCAUCAACUAGUUCGGUCAUGGCUAAUGCAAAUGAAAGGCUAAUAAGGCGGGUGUUGGGGUGGGCGUAGAGGCCAGUGAUAAAGUCAUUGAAGUUGUUGAGCAAGAAGAGUCGAACCCAUUUCAAAAGAAGGCAAGAAAGAAAACAUUAACUGUUUGGAACAAUUUUCAAGAUGUAACUCUUCCAGAUGGUACCAAGAAGCAUCAAUGUAAAUUCUACAAAGAUUAUUUUACCAUCCAAGCAUCUAGGUCUACUACUCAUCUUCUUAGACAUAUAAAGACGUGUGUGCAACGUCGACUUAAACUUGAAGUAUUAGAGAAAAGGCAAAAGACUUUGUCAUUUAAGGCCGGUGGAUGGGAUAGUGGGAACCUUACAACCUUCACGUAUGACCAUGAAAAAGUAAGAGAAGCUGCUUCCCACAUGAUACUUUACCAUGAGUAUCCGUUCAUGCAUAUGGAGCAUGUUUUGUUCAACAAAUUCAUGAAGACGGCAACUCCUCAUUGGCAAAAUAUAAGUUGUGCCACUGCCAAAAAUGAUUGUAUAUAGACUUACCAAACACAAAAGAAGAAGCUGAAGACAUCGUUGGAGCAUGUUGGCAGAGUUAGCAUCACAACAGACUUGUGGAAGUUGUCGGGCCAAAAGAUCCAAUAUAUGGUCCUGGCUGGUCAUUAUGUUAAUAAAGCUUGGAAGUUACAAAAACGUGUGCUUAGCUUUUGCAAUGUGCCACCUCCACAUACCGGGGUAAUUAUUUUUGAUGCUCUUCAUAAGUGUUUAGUUGAUUGGAAUAUUGAAAAUAAGGUGGCUACUAUCACAGUGGAUAAUGCUUCAUAUAAUGAUGUUGCUUUGAGAAACUUGAAAUUGACAUUUCAGUUGUUAAAGAAGUUACCUUUAGAUGGUAAACUUUUUCAUGUGCAGUGUUGUGCACACAUACUUAAUCUAAUGGUGCAAGAUGGGCUUAGUGAAAUUAAAGAGAUCACUAAUUGUGUUCGGGAUGGUGUGAUGUAUUUAAUACAUUCUAAAGCACGCCUAACUCAAUUUAGUGAUAUUGCUAAGCAGUUGAAAUUGCCUUCGAAAAAACUAAUCUUAGAUUGUUCUACACGAUGGAAUUCAACUUAUUUGAUGUUGUUUGCUACCUUGGAGUUCGAAGAUGUUUUAUCUAGGUACAGUGAAAGGGAUGUGGAUUUUGCCUAUGUGCCUACCUAUGAAGAGUGGGAAAAAGUUGAGAAUGUUUGUCAAUUUUCAAUGAUGUGACAAAUAUAAUCUCCAGGUGUGAAUAACCAACUUCCAAUUUGUUUCUCACCGAGGUUUGGAGAGUGAAAAAAAUCUUGGAUAAAAAUUUAGUGAGUUAAUUGGAAUACCUUAGAUCAAUGGCUUUAAGGAUGAAGGUGAAAUUUGACAAGUAUUGGGGUGAGUGUAAUCUAGUGAUGGCUCUCAGUGCAGCACUGGAUCCAAGAUACAAAUUGGUACUGAUUGGGUUUUGUUUUCUAGAGAUAUACAGUGACAAGGCAGAACAAAACAUUGCUAUGGUGCGUAAAUCUCUGUACGAUCUUUAUGAUGAGUAUGUUGCUAUGCAUUCCCUAGCGUACAAUGAACAAAUUUUGCAGCAAGCAGUAUAGAAGUUUGCUCUCUUAAUAGUGCUUCACAAGGGAAAAAAGUUGUCACGGGUAAAUCCAAAUAUGAGUCUUUUGUUAGGAAAGCUGAUACCAUUCAGCCUAUAAAAUCUGAUUUGGAUAUCUAUCUUGAAGAAGGUGUUUAUAUAUGUGGUUCACAAGCACAAGGUGAAGAAGUUUUGGAUCCCCAUUUUGAUGCAUUGGAGUGGUGGAAAGCAAAUACUCUCAAGUACCGCAUAUUGUUCAAGAUGGCAUGUGAUAUAUUGUCCAUUCCUAUUACCUCGGUGGCCUCGGAGUCCAUAUUUAGUGCAGGAGGUAGAGUCAUUGAUCCAUAUCGUGCAUCAUUGGCAACAGAAACUGUUGAAAUGUUACUUUGUGGAGUUGAUUAUGUACGUGCAAAUCAUGGACUUAAAAAGGAAUCCGAAACCAAAGAGCCAUCUCACAAAGAGUUCAUUCUACCUUAAUGGAGUAAUGUGUUUAUACCUCAGGAC